rnacentral:rRNA from 1 species
GCAAACGUCAUACUCACCGUGAUUCUUAUUUAUUCCUGCACGCUAACUACUCGACUCCAAAGAACGGCCAAAACAACUACUGAAUAGUAAUAUAACAUAUGUAGUCAGUACAUGUCUAUCCAUAAAUUUUGUGAGUAACAACUUCUCUUACAGUGUGGUGUGUUCGUUUAUGUUUUUUCAGCUCACUCCUACCUCGCACUCGCGCAUUCUUUCCCCUUCCCUCCCCCCCUUACUCCUCUUUUCUCACACAGAAGAAAAAACAAGCCAUCUAGAAUAGUAUUAUUAAUCACUCUACCCAUACACUCUGCCCAUAUCGCUGUUUCAAUAUUUCUGCACCUGUAUCCCUCCAUUCAUCUUUUAAAUCUCAGUUACUAAAUUAUGAUAAUAGCGCAUCCUACUUUCAUACACUUCCUCUUCCUUCAUCUUCCCCAAAUACUCAGUUUCCUCCUAACUUAUUUAUUUACAUUUAUAUCAUAUCUCCUCUACCCCACCAUUUAAACAUCGUUUCAUCCCCUUCCAACUACACCCGACCCAUGGAUAAAUCGACAUACUCUCUCAUUCUACCAUCACCUACUGUCAUUCAAGAUUUAUCCCAUAUAUAUAAUAAUGAAUCUCAAUUUAACAUAUUAUACAAUUCUCUCUUUUUUCUAUUUUAUUUCUUUUAAUCUUAGUCUCUUAUUAUUUAAACUUAUGCACACACCCUCUUGAUCAUACCUGUUCUUCUAAGUACCUAACAAUCUUGGAAUAUCACCACAAUCUUCUACCCACUGACCACCACCAACCUUCUGCCGACAUCCGUAACCACAAACAUACAUCCUUAUCUUUUACCUUCUACUGCUUGUCUUUUUCACGCUGUUACUUCUCCUCUUUUCUAUCUUUCGUUGUGUUCCUUUCCUUAUAUCUCGCCUAGACACCUCAAUNACACACCACCAUGCUCCUCCUUCCCAUUCUCUUCCUCUUACUCUACCCUCUCAUAUUCAUAUCACUCCCUACUCAUACCUCUUCACCUACUCAUACCCUCCUAUCUCACUACCCCUCCUUCGACCUUCUUUGUUUUCAUUUGGUUUUUUUCUUCUUUUAGUGACUACUUUAUACAGU